GACAACGGCGCGGGCGCUUCUGCGCCGUCGUCCCCGAUUGGCCGCGUCCGGGUCACGUGGCCGCGCCCCUCCUCUGGAGGGUGGAGGUCCGGGGUCCGAGCGCCGCCUCGGCAGUGGCUGGUGCGAGGGUGGCGUUGUCCCCCUCCACCUCCGAGAAAUGCACCUGCAGUCCCCCGGGUGUUCGCAGCCUGCGCUGCUGGCGCCGGUUCCAGCCGAGCGUUCUUCCCUCGAAACAGCGGCCAACCGCGGUCAGAACGACCCGUUCGAGGUCAGAGUGUCCGUCUCCCGAGCGUCGGUCUGACCCAGAGGAGGUGCUUGGGCCACUGGGCUUCGAGCCCAUCCUCACCGGGCUCACUCCCCCCUCCCUCCCUACUCGGAGAGGGGCCCAGGGGGCGAGGGGAGGUGGUGCCGACCGACUGCAGCCCCGAGCGCGGCAAUUAGCCCUUCUUCCUGGGGGAGGGGGGAGCCGGGAGCCGAGGCCACACCCUGCACCUCCAAGGGCGGCCCGGACCGCGGGCACUUAGCCCCUCCUCCUCCAGGGUGCCCCGCCCGUCGAGGCCUCGCCCCGCACCUCCGACUGCAGUCGCCCGCCCCAGACGCCGCCCUCAGAAGAGCCGCAGGGCCCCCUCCCCCACACCCCCUCCGCGCUCCGCUGCGGGGAGUCCACCUGCUGCCCGCCGCAGCCUCCCGGGUGGGAAGCACACCCCUCGGGGACCUGGGGUGGGAGGAGGCGGUCGGGAGUGCCCUUCCUUCCCUCUUCACCACACCCUGCUGCUGCUUCCGAAUGAGCCUAUAAACGGACGGGCGGGUUCCAGGGCCGGCACCUUCGGGAGAGCACAGGAUGAGCCCGAGGCGUCCUGUGUCGCUAGAAGGGAAGGAGGCGCUCACCAACAGAUAUGGGGUGUGCAAGGGCUCAGGAACCAGCCCGGAGGAGCUCCCGGCCCCCCAGGCUGGAGCAAUGAUGAGCACAGAGGUAGUGCUAUUGGACGAUAACUGUUUUCCUAGCUGAACACCCACGAGUCCGUAGCGCUAUAAAGAAACAGCAGCCGAGUCGGUGAGGGAGAAGGAACGGCCCUUUCCCGUAGAAAUAUCACAAGAGAUGUAGUAGGGGUGAGGGAAGCCGGGGAGCGACUCGAGGCAGACGCCCCAUGGUGCCUCCGCCGUGGCGGUCACCGCCAGAUCGGACGGUGCUAAGAUCAGCGAGCAGAAGCUGAACUGCUUCACAUCUCUCCCCCAAGACGUUUGCCGAUUAACGGGAACAAAUAGUGACUUCACAGUGGAGAAACUUGAUCGACGCCCCGCAGCCAGGAUCCUGGGAACAGGUCAGAGAAAUACAGCAAGACAUUGUUCAGCGGAACAGAGUGCUCUCCCAAAGGGCCACGCUCCCGGCAGAUAAGGCAGUCCUCAGGAGCUGUCCCAGAUCGGAGGUGUGUGAGGAGCAUGACAGCCGAACGCGACGUGGGGCUCUGGACUGGCCCAGACCGGGAAGAGUGCGUUAGUGGAAAACAUGAAAUCUGAAUCAAGUCCGGAGUCAGUUGACAGCGUGCGCCACGUACUGAAUAUUCACGUUUUCCCCAAACUUGGCCUUCGAAACCUAAUCCCCAGUGUGAUGGUGUCUGGAGGCGGGACCUGCGGGAGGUGCUGAGGUCCUAAGAAAUGGAGCCCUCCUGAAUGUGACCCGCGCCCUCAUAGAAGAGCCUAGAGAACCAGCGUGUCCCUUGUGCCACGCGAGGACGCCGAGAGAAGACAGCUGUCUGUGAACCAAGAGGCGGGCUUUCGCCAGGCACCAACCUGCCGAAGCCCUGGCUUUGGACUCCAGCCUCCAGGACCGUGGGAAGCACACGCUUGUCGUUCUGGCUCCCCGGCCUGUGUUAUUUUGUUCCGGCGGCCCCACCAGACCGAGACAGUAUUGCACCAGAAUUAGCUACCUGGCUUUGAUAUUUAUGCCAUAGAUCUGUAAGGCGUUAACGGUGGGAAAAGCUGGGCAAAGCAUUUGCGAAUUGUCUGUGCUUUGCUUUGCUUUGCUUUGUUUUUUUGUUUUUUGUUUUUUGUGGGUUUUUUUGCUUUGCUUUGCUUUGUUUUGUUUGCCAGAUUCAGGUGGGCCAGGGUGAAUUCAUCCUUCUCCUGGGCUGGGGGAGCAAGGGGAGUCCACGUCCGGGCUGCCCUCGUGUCCCGGAAUGGGGCGAGCUGAUGGGAAGCUCGGGUGGAUGCCCUUCAUGGGCUCUCGGGUGCCCAACCUGCCUUUACCGGCUUGGCGAGUCCGGAUGUGUCCGGCAGGGACAAGCUCGGGAGAUUGGAGAGCGGCGAGGAGCCCAGGUUGGGGGGCUUACGGAUGAGCAGGAGGAAGGUGGCAGGAGGCGAGCUUGGACAGCUGGCCAGCGUGUCAUGGGGGCCACAUCAGGUGAGGUUAGAGAAGGAAUCCUCACCCACCCCUUCGUAUCUCCCACCUCCAUUUAGUACGGUUUGAGUAUCCUUUUGGGUUUUUCUCAAUUACCUGUGUAGCAUUAUGUCCUGUUUCCUACUUAAAGCUCUGUAUCUGGUCCCGCAGCUUGGAUGGUUUCUGCGUCCUCUCCCACCACAGAAGAGAGGGAUCCCACCCUCCCCUCGGCCUCCCGUGCCUCCACCGCCUCCUGGCUCACGUCACCUAUGCUUUUGCCUGGACAUUGUCCAGGUUGCUGCUUAUCAUUAGACGAGAUUGUGUUGCUUGUAGGCUGAUGCCAAAGUCUAGAAGUCAAUCAGCAAUAUUUUCCCUUUA